rnacentral:rRNA from 1 species
GAUGGUAAGGUAACGGCUUACCAUGGCUACGAUGUCUAGGGGUUCUGAGAGGAAGAUCCCCCACACUGGAACUGAGACACGGUCCAGACUCCUACGGGAGGCAGCAGUGAGGAAUAUUGGACAAUGGAUGGAAAUCUGAUCCAGCCAUGCCGCGUGCAGGAAGACGGCCCUAUGGGUUGUAAACUGCCUUUAUACGGGAGCAAUAAGGUCUACGUGUAGGCCGAUGAGAGUACCGUAGGAAUAAGCACCGGCUAACUCCGUGCCAGCAGCCGCGGUAAUACGGAGGGUGCAAGCGUUAUCCGGAUUUAUUGGGUUUAAAGGGUGCGUAGGCGGUCAAUUAAGUCAGCGGUGAAAGUUUUCAGCUUAACUGGAAAAAUGCCGUUGAUACUGAUAGGCUAGAAUAUGGUUGCUGUGGGUGGAAUGUGUGGUGUAGCGGUGAAAUGCUUAGAUAUCACACAGAAUAUCAAUUGCGAAGGCAGCUCACAAAGCCAUUAUUGACGCUGAGGCACGAAAGUGUGGGGAUCAAACAGGAUUAGAUACCCUGGUAGUCCACACCGUAAACGAUGAUAACUCGCUGUCGGCGAUAAACAGUCGGUAGCCAAGCGAAAGCGA